UCGCGUACUUUCUUCUUCCGCCGCUCCGCUGUCCCAUUCUUUCGCCGGUCGCAAUGGAAGAAGAGAUCGCCGCGCUCGUCAUUGACAAUGGCUCCGGCAUGUGCAAAGCUGGCUUUGCUGGGGACGACGCUCCCCGAGCCGUGUUUCCUUCCAUCGUCGGGCGCCCCAGACACCAGGGCGUGAUGGUGGGCAUGGGCCAGAAGGACUCCUACGUGGGCGACGAGGCCCAGAGCAAGCGUGGCAUCCUGACCCUGAAGUACCCCAUCGAGCAUGGCAUCGUCACCAACUGGGACGACAUGGAGAAGAUCUGGCACCACACUUUCUACAACGAGCUGCGCGUGGCUCCGGAGGAGCAUCCAGUGCUGCUGACCGAGGCCCCCCUGAACCCCAAGGCCAACAGAGAGAAGAUGACUCAGAUUAUGUUUGAGACCUUCAACACCCCGGCCAUGUACGUGGCCAUCCAGGCCGUGCUGUCCUUGUACGCUUCUGGGCGCACCACUGGCAUUGUCAUGGACUCUGGAGACGGGGUCACCCACACGGUGCCCAUCUACGAGGGCUACGCCCUCCCCCACGCUAUCCUGCGUCUGGACCUGGCUGGCCGGGACCUGACCGACUACCUCAUGAAGAUCCUCACCGAGCGAGGCUACAGCUUCACCACCACGGCCGAGCGGGAAAUCGUGCGCGACAUCAAGGAGAAGCUGUGCUACGUCGCCCUGGAUUUCGAGCAGGAGAUGGCCACCGCCGCAUCCUCCUCUUCGCUGGAGAAGAGCUACGAGCUGCCUGAUGGCCAGGUCAUCACCAUUGGCAAUGAGCGGUUCCGGUGUCCGGAGGCGCUGUUCCAGCCUUCUUUCUUGGGUAGGUGUUGUGAGCUAAAAGUUUCUGCUCUGUCAUCCUGGGCGACACAGCAUCACUAAGGGAGGGCUUUGUCACCUAGGCAUGGAAUCUUGCGGCAUCCACGAGACCACCUUCAACUCCAUUAUGAAGUGUGACGUGGAUAUCCGCAAAGACCUGUACGCCAACACGGUGCUGUCCGGCGGCACCACCAUGUACCCAGGCAUUGCCGACAGGAUGCAGAAGGAGAUCACUGCCCUGGCGCCCAGUACCAUGAAGAUCAAGAUCAUUGCACCCCCAGAGCGCAAGUACUCAGUGUGGAUCGGCGGCUCCAUCCUGGCCUCACUGUCCACCUUCCAGCAGAUGUGGAUUAGCAAGCAGGAGUACGACGAGUCGGGCCCCUCCAUCGUCCAUCGCAAAUGCUUCUAAAUGGACUGAGCAGAUGCGUAGCAUUUGCUGCAUGGGUUAAUUCAGAAGUAUAAAUUUGCCCUUGGCAAAUGCAUACACCUCAUGCUAGCCUCACGAAACUGGAAUAAGCCUUCGAAAAGAAAUUGUCCUUGAAGCUUGUAUCUUGAUAUCAGCACUGGAUUGUAGAACUUGUUGCUGAUUUUGACAUUGUAUUCAAGUUAACUGUUCCCCUUGGUAUUUGUUUAAUACCCUGUACAUAUCUUUGAGUUUUCAACCUUUAGUACAUGUGGCUUGGUCACUUCGUGGCUGAGGUAAGAACGUGCUUGUGGAAGACAAGUCUGUGGCUUGGUGAGUCUGCGUGGCCAGCAGCCUCUGAUCUGUGCAGGGUAUUAACGUGUCAGGGCUUGAGUGUUCUGGGAUUUCUGUAGAGGCUGGCAAGAACCAGUUGUUUUGUUCUGCGGGUCUGUCAGGGUUGGAAAGUCCAAGCCGUAGGACCCAGUUUCCUUUCUUAGCUGAUGUCUUUUGCCAGAACACCCGUGGGCUGUUAAUUGCCUUGAGUUGGAAGCAGUUUGCAUUUACACCUGUAAAUGUAUUCAUUCUUUUAAUUUAUGUAAGGUUUUUUGUACGCAAUUCUUGAUUCUUUAAAGAGAUGACAACAAAUUUUGGUUUUCUACUGUUAUGUGAGAACAUUAGGCCCCAGCAACACGUCAUUGCGUAAGGAAAAA
rnacentral:sRNA from 1 species